AAGCUAUAGCUGAUAGCGAGAGGUGCAACCCACCCUUUAUAGGCCCUGAACCAUACGGGGCACGAACCCAACCCACACCCCCAACCAAGGCCAACCCGAGACAGGUGGCCACCCUUUGGGUGCCAUCAACAUCAAGUUCCUAACGUGCAAAAUUGGCCUAGUGUUGUAAAAGACCAAUGGGGGAAUCGCCUCAUGACUUACUUGCUUCCCAAGACACAAAGAGAAGUACCUACCUACUCCAAUCCGAAUU
rnacentral:lncRNA from 1 species